rnacentral:piRNA from 1 species
UGUAAGUGCACAGCUGUGCAUAUGGUUGCUU